rnacentral:lncRNA from 1 species
GGCUCUUCCUACUUAAGGCUGAUGACAAUCUUGAUGACUUAUCAACUCCUUGAUGACCUAUCACAAAAUAUCGUCAAGGCUCUGCUUCAGUACUUUAGUGCUGCCUUAGGUUGACGACAUUCUUAACAGCUUAUCAGACCCUUGACGACUUAUCACAAAAUGUCGUCACAGACUUCAACUUAGGCUAAUUCUCUAUCUAUGGCUGACGAUGACCUUGAUAGCUUAUCACAAGGCUGACGACUUAUCACAAAUGUUGUCAACCACACUUUUCUUCUGAUUUCAACUUCUUUUCUUCUAUUCUUAUUCGUUCUCUAUCAUAUCAGCUUCUACUGCAAAAUCAAACAUAAACCAAUAAAAAAAGAUAAAAGUUGCUUAAGACUUCACAAUUAUUCUUAGUUAAAAGCCUCAAAUGUGUUAGUGUUAGCUCACACAUCAAUACUACAAACCAACUCAGAAUCUUAGCACGAUAUGUAUGAAAAAAAUAAAGAACUCCAAAGAAUGACGCAUAGCCUCCCGAAGAUUGGAAAUGGCCAUCAAUGUUUUGACCCGCAGGACUCUAUUAGAAACUUGCUCUUGUACCAAUAAUACCAGUAAAACCUAGGCUCUGAUACUAAUUUGUCACAUCCCAAAUUUUGAGUCAUGAUGGCACCUACCAUAACCCACUAGUAGGUAAGCCGACACCAUAACCCGGAGCUAAUGCAAUGGGUUACCUUGGUAGAAACAUCCAACAUGGACCCUAUGUAGCAACACAAUAUAACAACAACAUUCUACAAACAAAAUUACUAACAUUCGAAUACCAAUACCAUGACCUGGUAGUAUAAGUACAAGAGCAACUCUAAAUCUGACAACAAAAAUUAGAAUUUGAAGUCUAGAAACUUAAAUAGUCUUAUACAACUGUCUUGAGUACAAAAGACAAGUAAAGAAAGAAUAAAAAGAGGGAAACUCAAACUCCAAGAUCUCGCCCUAUCCCCUGAUGAUCAACACAACACGAUCUCGACUCAACAGUGGAAACUAGAACUCAGGUUUGCACCAAAAAGGUACAUAAAUGCAGUAUGAGUACCAAAACACGGGUACUCAUUACGCAUCAUCGGCUGACUGAGCUCAAAUAUGAUAUAAAGAUGAGAUAAAGUAAGACAAUGAUCUUAAUGUCAAGGGGUAGGAUCGAACCUGAAUCUACUUUAAUACUACUGUAAGAACAUCUAUACUACUAAAGCAAUAACAUGACAUCCUGUUUCAAAAUACUCCAUAAUCACCAUAACAACUGAGAAUCAUUUUGAAAGAGUACAGUUAUAUACACAAUAUCAAAACAUCUACUUUAUAUAAUCAUCAUUAACCAUCUUUAGACCAUAAACACAAGAACUUACCACAACGUCCACUAUCAGGAAGUACACGAAAGAGAGCACAACAAAGAACGCAUCACAACAUCCCAUACCACCGAAGAAUAUAUAAAAGAACAUCAAACAAGAACUCAUCACAACAUCCUAUACCACCGGAGAGUACACCAAAGAAUACAACCAAUAAUACAAUAAAGCACAACUACUCCAUCAAUUUAACAAAAAUCGCAGGUAGCAUAACCCCGCCAUGGGUCAUUACCGAAAUCCACUUCCAAUUACCCAUACCUUAAUUCAACAUAAAGAAAGCAACAUUGUCAUAGCAUAGGUUUGUAAUCAUUAAUUCUAUAAUUCAUUGAUAAAUACUGCGAAGUCCACACUACUUAACCUUAUUUUUCCAAAAGUCAAAAGAUUACAAGUCUUAAAAUCACUAGUAAUCAAAUUGGGGAAAAACUACAAGACACCCAUAGUAUAGGUUAUUCAACUAUCAUAAGGCCAUUCUUUAACUAGGAUCAUCAUUACAUGAGUUAUCAACUAAGCCAUCUCAACUUCACAUGUUAGGAGAUAAUUUAACUAACCAUCACGCAAUACUAGAUCCAUCAUCACUAAGCAUGUCACAAACUUAAGGACUAGUUUCCAUAUUUUAAUCAAGUAAAGUCCACCAACUAGUUUACUAGGUUUCGAGGUUUCAAAUAAUAAUCAUAUACUUUAGAAGUAGCUAGUUAUCACAUAAGCCACCUUACUAGGCAAGAUUUCAUAGUAUAACCUCUUAUUCAAGUCAAGUAUAUAUAUAGGUUAGCCCUUGAAUUUUUUAUGAAAGUUUACACAUAACGCUAAGCCUUAACUUAAUAUUAGACAUAAAUUUCCCCUAGUAGCUAAUUUAGCAUCAACAAGGGUCACACCUCUUAUAUAGUUAUUUGGAACAAGAAAUGAAUAAUAAUUUACCAGGAGAGACCUCAUAAUUCAAGCAUAUAGGUGGUUGGCCCCAUAUGGCCUAAACUUACAAAUAUCAAUACAUAUAAGUAAAUUUGGCCCACACAGCAUCAUUAUGUUCUUACCUCUUUCGGAUUCAUCAGGCAUCAUCACAAUAUUGACAUAUUUCUCUGAAUUCAUCGGGAUUAUCAUAAUAUCACACAUUCCUCUAGAAUUGAACCGGGCAUCAUCAUAAUAUAACAUAUUCCUCCAAAUUCACCGAGCAUCAUCAAAAUAUCACAUAUUCCUCCGAACUCGAAUCGGGCAUCAUCAUAAUAUCACAUAUUCCUUCGGACUCGAAUCGGGUAUCUUUAUAAUAUCACAUAUUCCUCCAGAUUCACUGGGCAUCAUCAUAAUAUCAUAUAUUUCUCCAGACUCAAACUGGGCAUCAUCAUACUAUCACAUAUUCAUAUAGAGUCAAACCGAGCAUCAUUAUACUAUCACAUAUUUUUCUAGAUACAACAACAUACGUCCACAUGCAUAGCCAAACCAAUAACCAAAUACUCAAGCUCACAAUACAUAAAAAAAUAGGGAUGUGGGAUAACACUUGCCAUUUUACCUUACUAAUAAGCUUCACACGUAAUGUGAGCAUCAAUAAGAGCAUGAGUAUUUACCAAACAUUCACAAUAAUCACUUAACAAGGUUAUUCAAGUCAUGAUAAUAAGAAAAUAUGAUAAUCGAGUGCAACCAUCCCAACUUCUAUACAUAUACAUAUAGCUUGGACAAUCACUACGUAUCUAGGUCGCUAAGCAUUUACUUUGUUCAAGCUUAAGGUGGGUCAAUUCCCACUUCUAAAUCCCGAGAAUACCAAGCUUACUAAAAUAUGUCUAGCAUCUACCCAAAAUUAGGCUAAGUCAUCCAUACCUCACCAUAAAGUCUUACCAAUCCUUUCUAAAUCUAUAGGGAAAGUCUCUUCAAGAAUCCUUCCUAAGUAAACCCAACACCAAGGUCAUCUCCUAUCUAGGAAUUAUAUAGGUUAAUACACUCCUACAGAUAGAGAAGUAUACCAUUCAUGUCUACUUAGGACAACUAUAGUAUUCUCACACUAUUCAUGAGACCACAAUUAAGCUAACCAAGGUCCUAAAGUAAGUGUCAAAUAUCAUACCUUACAAAUCCAUGGACUAUAACAAUUAAUAAAUCCCAAGUUCACUAAUUAAUCAACUAUCGUCUAAAUUCCCCACCCAAUCUCGCAAGAUAUUAAUGAUUAUAUUAUAAACAAGCUCAAUCUGGACCACGAGUAAGCCUAACCUACCUUGAAUCCAAGCAAAUCAUGAACCAACGAGUUUUUCCUUUCCUUUUUGAGAAGCUUUCUCUUCCACAAGCAAUGCUAUCAACAAUAUAAUCUAAUCAUUACAACAAGAAUAAAAAUACCCAUUAUAGCACCAUUGUGCCAUGGGUUUCAAAAUGACAUCAAACCUCAAGUGGGUCCUACCUUUGGAAAAUGAGUUGCUGAUACCAACCCAUAGUCUAAAUAUUAUUAGGGAGCUAAUAACCCUCAAGAAAUUUAAGUAAAUCAAUCAUAUUUUUGGAUACAAUUGAACGUCAAAGACUUAGGAUUUUUUGGUCUAGAAAUCAAGAAAUUAAUAUCAAAUUUGAAAAAAUCUUACCUUAGAUUUGUAGAAGAAAAAUUAGAUUAACACAAGUUGCUAAGCUUCUAAUCAAUCGACAAGACUCAUUUUUUCUGUCAACAAAUAUUUAUGGCUUUUAGGGUUUUGAAAAUGCUGAAAAUAUCUCAAAAAUUGGCCAAAGGGCCUUUUUAUACGAGUUCAAAUGGGUCAGUAGGGUCAAAACUUGUUUUUCACCUACCAGACUCAUUCAGACUCUGUUUUUCACAAACGAACUAUGUAACCUUACUAAAUUUGAUAUUUUAGAUACAUUGGUGAAGUUAGAUUUGCCAUCCGAGGUCAUUUAAGCUACUUGUUGGUCCCACACCCAUAUAUUUCGACUUUUGACUUUUUGACUAAUGGGUCAAAUUAGCUUGGGUGCUGUGGGAUCCGAACCAAAAGUCUACCUAUCGUAAAAUCAAUAUUACAUAGCUACUGAUGUAGUCAAAAUUUGUAUCUGAAAUUGUUUUGGUAAAGUUUUUGUUUAGAGGCCAUUUGGAAUCGACGAAGACUUCAAAUUGGAAAAGUGGUUCUAAAAACCAAACAAACUGUCAUGUAACCGACUUAUCGAUUCCACCAAGUAACUAAUGACUUGUGACGGCUAUGAAGGAGCUCUAUAAGCAAAGAUAAGCAAAACACAGCUAAUGGCCUGGAGGUUCAUUACAAAUACACACUUGAAUUUAUUUUUGGUUAGAAAUGAUAUAAAUACCAAGUUCUUUAUCAACUACAGUAUAUGAAGGACUUUGUUGAGUGUCAACGCCUUUCCUUAUGUUAUCUUCAAGAAAAUUUUUCUUGUUCCUUCAACCUUUGCUAUUGUGGAGUUAUCCAUAUAAAUCUUCUCCUCAUCUUGAGCCGAAGCAUAAGAACCAAAAAACUCCUUGUUGGCACAUAUGUAGCAUGUGGCACUGGAAUCAAUCCAUCACUCUUUAGGAUUACCCACCAAGUUACAUUCUAAGAGCAUGGAUCAUAGAUCAUCCACUUUAUUUUUUGAUUCAGCCAUGUUGGCUUGAUCCUUCUUCUUGACUUUCUUUGGGGCCCGAUAAUCUAUGGAUUUAUGGCCAGCCUUGCCAUAAUUAAAGCAAUUUUCUUUGAACUUUUUAUUUAGAGGAUUGCUUUGUUGUUCAAAUGUUUUCUUUUAUUUCUUUAAGUUAUUAGGGUCAUCUUCAUCAAGAUUUGCUCCACUAAUUACAGAAUUCCCUUUUUCAUCUACUUUGUUAUCUUCUUCAGUAUGUAACCUCACGAUGAGGCCUUCAACAGAAAUUUUCUUUUCUUUAUGCUUCUAGUAAUUUUUAAAGUCGUUCCACAAAGGUGACAACUUUUCUAUUAUAGCCACUACUUUGAAAGCCUUAUUCACAAUCAAACCUACAACAAAGAUUAUAUGAUUGUUAAAAAGAACUUUAAUAUGUUCAAGUAAGGUACUCACUAUGUUUAUACCUUCUGCUAGGAGAUCAUGGAUGAUCACUUACAGUUGUUGCACUUGAGAGAUGAUAUUCUUACGGUUUGUCAUCUUAAAUACAAGAAAUUUUGCAAGAAGAACUAUUUAGUUCCAGCAUCCCCAGUUUUAUAUCUUAAUUCCGAUGCAUCCCAUAAUUUUUUCAAGGUUUUUAGACCGCUGUACACAUUGUACAGAUACUCUUGAAGACUACUUAGUAUAUAUUUCUUACAUGAAAAGUUUGAGCCUUUUCUUGCCUGCAUUACUAUAAAACGUUCCUUGUUCGGUAUCUCUUAGGGAAAUUGUUUAACAUUUUCAAAGAUAAACCUUUAAAAACUUAGAGUCGUCAAAUAGAAGAACAUCUUUUGCUACCAACGUUUGAAAUUCACACCUGGAAACAUUUUGAAUUUUUUUGUUGGUGCCAUAGUGAGCGCGACACUCGUAUGGCUUAUUGUAGCAACAGUUGUAGUUGCUAUACUUGUCUUUUUACCAUUUUAAUGACUUUCAACAGGCAUUUUUUCUGUCACAAAAAGACAACCAAUUUAGUAUGUCAGAAGAAUACUAACUAUAAAGUUUUAAAAACUCUAAGCACCAACUUGUUUCUAGUUUAACAGUGAAGUUUUUAUGUUUUUCAAAUCGUCAAUCGAAUGAACUUUAACUUGUGGUAAAAUUUUUAUAUCUUUAAAUCACUAUUAAGUUCAAACAGAGUAGAAAUUCAAAUUCUUUAAUCUUUAGAAGCAUAAAAAUACAGAGAUUUCAAUGAAUCAGUGAAGUAUUUAUAUUCUGCAAACCAAAUUCCCAAAUUGAUUUGUCGGUUAAGUUUUUAUAUUCUAUCUGUAUUGAUUAAUCAUGUGUUUCAAGGCAUCCCUAUACAUCUAUUAUCAAAACUCAAUCCUCCUAAAGGGGUACUAAGGCAUUUACAUAGCAUCUUUGCUAUGUUUUUCCGGAAGAACACCACAGAUAAGAAGAGUAGACAUUGGGUGAGUUGGGACACUUUAUGCUUACCUAAAUUAGAAGGAGGUGUUGGUUUUAGGUCUCUUUUUGAUGUUUCUAAUGUUCUUUUUUGUAAAAUUUUAUGGAACUUGAGGAGUAGACCUUCACAAUUGGGAGCUUUUAUGACCAACAAAUAUUGCAAAAAAGCUUCAUCCAGUAUUGACCUAAUGUAGGGGAGAUUCCCCUAUAUGGAAAAAGCUAAGAUUUGACAGAGAGCUCAUAGAGCAUCAAAUUUGGUGGAAGAUUGAGAAUGGGAAUUCUAGUUUUUGGUAUGACUUUUGGACUACAAUGGGAGCAUUAUAUCACAUUAUCGCAGAUAUAGGGGAUGGGGAAAUUGAAGUUAGGAAUUUUACAACUGUAAAUAGGUGGAAUGAGCAAAGUUUGAGUAAAUUUUUCCCUAAAGAGAAUGUAGAUUUCAUCAUUAAAAACAUCUGAUCUCCAAUGCAAAUAGAUAAUCUAGAUAAAUAGUGUGGAUGCUUGAACCUAGUGGAAUUUUCUCAGUCAAGAGUGUGUGUGAGUAUACUAUACAAAAGGAUCAGAAAGAAGACAUAUUUUAAUAUUUAUGGAGUGAUAAGCUGCCUUUUAAAAUAUCUUUUUUCACUUGGAGAAUGUGGAAAUUCAGGGUGCCAGUGGAUAAAAUAGUGCAACACAUGGGUGUUAACAUGGUUUCUAGGUGUUGGUGUUGCACUAAUGGUUACUAAUGUUGCAGGUAUAUACAUUGAAGGCUUACAGUUAUCACAAGUGAUCAUUAAAUGGUGGCCAAGAAAAUGUUGUUCAAACUUAAAGCUACUUAUGAGAGCUAUAUCAUCUAUAAUUAUUUGGAACCUAUGGAAGAGAAGGAAUAGAUUAAAGCAUUGAAAUACAUCAUCAUUUACUCAUUUAGUUUUCAAGGUCAACGCUAACCUAUGAAGACUCGGGAGAAUUCUACAUCCAAAAAUACAUGAUUUCCCAAUACACUGGUAAAAUAUUAUGGUAUAUUAAGAGAACCUUAAAGCCAAACUAUUUCAUCUUCCAAUUUGCUGGAAACCACUGGAAGGAUGUCUAAAAUACAACACUGAUGGUAUAUCAAGAGGCAAUCCAUGUAGGAGCACCUGCAAUUUCUUCUUGAGGAACUUUGCAGGUGAUUUAAUAUAUGCUCAAGGGGAAAAAAUUCAGGAAAGCACAAUUCUAGAAGCAGAAGCCAUGGCAAUAAAAAAGGCUCUAGCACACUGUGUGACAAAAGGGAUUACUAAAGUUAGUCUGGAAAUGGAUUCACUAAUGAUGAUUAAAAUUCUUACAAAAAUGUGAUUACCUUGGAAUAUUAUUGGGAUCGUGGAAGCAGAACAGAAAUAUUUAGAACUAUGUCAGGUUCACAUCCAACAUGUAUACAAAAAGGGUAAUUAUUUGGUUGAUUGCUAGCCAAUUUAGCUUUUGAUAAUACAGGUAGACUUGUCUUUAAUUUCUUCUCAGAAUUACCAAGUCAUGCCAGAAGGAUUUUGAAUCUAGAUAAGCAUCAAGUGCCAAAUUUAAGAAUUCGUACUAAGGAAAUAGUUAGAUAUAAGGAUGGGUGUCAAGGAUCCGUCACAACAAUUAUAAGAUGAGUUCAAGCAUUUUUAUUUUCUUGAUGUAGAUUAGUAUUUCUAGUACCUUUGUAGAGGAACAAUUCAUUUCAAAAACCCAAUUCAUAAGGGCAUUUAUAGAUCUAAAGUCAUUGUACUUGAGCGAAGAAUUAUAGAAGACAUGAUUAUAAGUCUUGGUACAGAUUCAAACUUCUUUGAGUCGUCACAGAUGCAAGUCAAAGCUAUAGGAAAACACACAGAUAUAAAGAUAAAUAUUUGCAAAGGGAAAGCCAACUUAUACCUGGAAAAAACUCCAAAAAUCUAUUUGAAGCAGGUUGUGGUCGGUUAAUAAGAAGCUCGCCGGAAGUCUUUCGCUCCAGGAGCUCAUCACCAAACAUUUUUGUUGCUAAAAAUAUUAGUAGGAAAGCCAAGAAAUAAAAAUAAUAUGGGAAAGGAGCUUACAUUUGUUUCACAGCAGGUCAUCACUUUCCUAUUUGCUCAAAUGAUGGAAGAUGAUGGAGAGGAAUUAGCAGAGCUUCUGAUUCAUUUGCCUCUUCAUUUUCUUACUUUUUGUAUUAUUAUUUCCAAGGAAAUGUAUCGAUUGGGAUGCUCUUUUUUUUAUGGACA